rnacentral:rRNA from 1 species
GACGAACCGUGCGAACGUUGUUCGGAAUCACUGGGCUUAAAGGGCGCGUAGGCGGACCAUCAAGUCCGGGGUGAAAUCCUCCGGCUUAACCGGAGAAUUGCCUGGGAUACUGGUGGUCUUGAGGGAGGUAGGGGCACGCGGAACUUCCGGUGGAGCGGUGAAAUGCGUUGAUAUCGGAAGGAACGCCGGUGGCGAAAGCGGCGUGCUGGCCCUCUUCUGACGCUGAGGAGCGAAAGCCAGGGGAGCAAACGGG